UAAUACGUAGGGGGCAAGCGUUGUCCGGAAUUAUUGGGCGUAAAGCGCGCGCAGGCGGUUUCUUAAGUCUGGUGUCUAAGUGCGGAGCUCAACCCCGUGACGCACUGGAAACUGGGAGACUUGAGUGCAGAAGAGGAGAGCGGAAUUCCACGUGUAGCGGUGAAAUGCGUAGAGAUGUGGAGGAACACCAGUGGCGAAGGCGGCUCUCUGGACUGUAACUGACGCUGAGGCGCGAAAGCGUGGGGAGCAAACAGGAUUAGAUACCCUGGUAGUCCACGCCGUAAACGAUGAGUGCUAGGUGUUGGGGGGGUCCACCCCUCGGUGCCGAAGUCAACACAUUAAGCACUCCGCCUGGGGAGUACGGUCGCAAGACUGAA
rnacentral:rRNA from 1 species